rnacentral:rRNA from 1 species
CACGUAGGGCGCAAGCGUUGUCCGGAAUUAUUGGGCGUAAAGAGCUCGUAGGCGGUGUGUCGCGUCGGCCGUGAAAACCUGCAGCUUAACUGUGGGCUUGCGGUCGAUACGGGCAUCACUGGAGUUCGGCAGGGGAGACUGGAAUUCCUGGUGUAGCGGUGAAAUGCGCAGAUAUCAGGAGGAACACCGGUGGCGAAGGCGGGUCUCUGGGCCGAUACUGACGCUGAGGAGCGAAAGCGUGGGGAGCAAACAGG